rnacentral:tRNA from 1 species
GCCCCUGUGGUGGAACUGGCAGACGCGCCUACCUACCAAGUAGGUGACCGAAAGGUCGUGUGGGUUCGAGUCCCACCGGGGGCA